UACGUAGGUGGCAAGCGUUAUCCGGAAUUACUGGGCGUAAAGCGCACGCAGGCGGUCUUUUAAGUUUGACGUGAAAGCUCCCGGCUUAACUGGGAGAGGUCGUUGAAUACUGGAAGACUUGAGGAAAUGAGAGGGGUGUAGAAUUCCUGGUGUAGUGGUGGAAUGCGUAGAUAUCAGGAGGAAUACCAGUGGCGAAAGCGGCACCCUGGCAUUUUUCUGACGCUCAUGUGCGAAAGCGUGGGGAGCGAACGGG
rnacentral:rRNA from 1 species